GCUUACGACCACACCGGUCUGAGUACACCUGAUCUCGUCUGAUCUCGGAAGCUAAGCAGGGUCGUGCCUGGUUAGUACUUGGAUGGGAGACCGCCUGGGAAUACCAGGUGCUGUAAGCU
ensembl:rRNA 5S_rRNA 5S ribosomal RNA